rnacentral:rRNA from 1 species
UACGGAGGGGGCUAGCGUUGUUCGGAAUUACUGGGCGUAAAGCGCACGUAGGCGGAUGCUUAAGUCAGGGGUGAAAUCCCGGGGCUCAACCCCGGAACUGCCUUUGAUACUGGGUGUCUGGAGGUCGAGAGAGGCGAGUGGAAUUCCGAGUGUAGAGGUGAAAUUCGUAGAUAUUCGGAAGAACACCAGUGGCGAAGGCGGCUCACUGGCCCAUAACUGACGCUGAGGCACGAAAGCGUGGGAGCAACAGGA